AUUUAAGAAGAUUAAUCUGACAGCAAGAUAUAUUGGGAAACCGGUUGGGAAGCACUUCUAUAUUCCAGGGAUGUUUGUGGAGUUUGUAUUUCUGGCUUGUCUGCCAGUGGAAGAAGGGCAGAACUAUUUCUAAAGGACAAAUUAAACCCCCAUGUUUCUCCAGUGACUGUCAAUAAUUCUUGGACUUAGUUUUGGAUCAGUAAAGCUAUUUGGAGAAUGUGCAUGAUUUUGGUGGACCAAACAGAUUUGUUAAUAUACCCCUCCUCCUGUAUUGAAGUGAGCCUCUGGCAGGUCUCCUCCACAGAGCACACCUGCCUUAGAGCAAACAGAAUGUACUGUGCUAAUGACUCUGAGAUUUCAAGGAAGAUGCACUCCUCAUCUUGAUUCACCAGUAGAAGAGUCACUCACUUCUCUCAUUUGGAAGGAAACAGGGAGCAGGUGACUUUCCAGUUUUUCCACCAUUUUUUGAAGAGACUGUCUUUUCCCAUUGUCUAUCCCUGGAUCUUUUAUCAUUAAUUAAUUGGCCGCAUGUGUGAGUUUACUUCUGGGCUCUUUAUUUUGCUUCACCGAUCUGUAUGUCUGUUUUUAUGGCAACACCAUAAGGUUUUGAUUACUAUACCUUUGAAAUAUAGUUGAAAAUCAAGAAGUGUGAUGCUUCCAGCUUUG